UUCGUAUCUUUGUGAUGAUUUUACGAGUAGGAAUCUCAUUGAGCUUCAGUCAUUCUUUGCUUUGAAAUUAAUAUCUCUUACUGAUCACAUU